AUGAGAAAUUCUCCGGAAUCUCUGUAUUUCUGUGAUGAAACACUUGAACCCCUUUUCUGAUGACUGUUUUGAAAAUCA